rnacentral:rRNA from 1 species
AGAAUGACUCUCGGCAACGGAUAUCCAGGCUCUUGCAUCGAUGAAGAACGUAGCGAAAUGCGAUACUUGGUGUGAAUUGCAGAAUCCCGUGAACCAUCGAGUCUUUGAACGCAAGUUGCGCCCGAUGCCAUUAGGUUGAGGGCACGUCUGCCUGGGUGUCAAAU